ensembl:lncRNA
GUUUUUGGCAUAAGCGUUUAUAUACCUUGAAGAGCAACAUUGCAUCGCAAUAUUCAGACAGGAAUAUAAAUACUAUUAGCUUGAUUCGUGGCUAGACUUCCAUCAUGGCCGAUCAACAGCCUGAGCGGGCCUACAAGCCAUUGGUCCGAAAACCCCCGGACCCAUUGCUCAGUUACUAUUGUUUCAGGGAAACAAUAGAAACCUCUCCCUCGUGUGCCAGCGAGCCUUCUUCAGAGGAGGGUGGAGUGAGGCAGAGGAAGAGGAGCAGAGAGGAUCCGGAGGAAGGCCCAAGCCCCUCAAAGAGGUUGAGGACCAGCUACGGGAAACAACCUCCCCAUGUGGAGGCUCUGGGGAAGGCAGAGGUCUCCUCUGAGGCCCGUGAAGACCCAGGGGUGCCUGGUUCUUCGUCCGGAUCCCGGGACACGGACAGAUCUGGCAGUCGUCCCAGCUCCUCUGCAGGUGUUGAGCGCUCCGACCACAGCUCCGCCUGUAUCACCUCCUCCAGCAGGAUCCGCCUGACGACCUACAGCACAGCUGACUUUGAAGCCCUGUACGAGGAGCUGGAGUGGCUGGGACAAGGAGGAUUCGGGAGUGUCUUUGCUGGCUACCGGAGAGAGGACCGUCUGCCUGUCGCUAUAAAGCACAUCCCCAUGGACAUGGUCGAAAUGACCCGGGUGACUCUUAACGGGCAGCUGACGGACUGCCCGCUGGAAGUGUCUUUGAUGCUGAGGGCCGCCGAAGAUCCGCUGGACCCUGAGGGCCCCUGUGCAGUUGUCCUCCUGCUAGACUGGUUCCAGCUGGACCAGGAGCUGAUCCUGGUGGAGGAGAGACCUCCUGAAACAAUAGAAACCUCUUCCUGGUGGAACAGCGAGCCUCCUUCAGCGGAGGGUGGAGGGAGGCAGAGGAAGAGGAGCAGAGAGGCUCCGGAGGAAGGCCCAAGCCCGUCACAGAGGUUGAGGAGCAGCUACAGGA